AUUGAACGCUGGCGGCAGGCUUAACACAUGCAAGUCGAACGAGUGGCGGACGGGAGAGUAAUGCUUGGGAAUCUGCCUGGUGGAGGGGGAUCACUACUGGAAACGGUAGCUAAUAACGCAUACCAUCGGAUGUGCCCAGAUGGGGUUAGCGAGUAGGGGGGGUAACGGCUCACCAAGGCGACGAUCCCUAGCGGGUCUGAGAGGAGGACCAGCCACACUGGAACUGAGACACGGUCCAGACUCCUACGGGAGGCAGCAGUGGGGAAUAUUGGACAAUGGGCGAAAGCCUGAUGCAGCCAUGCCGCGUGUGUGAAGAAGGCCUUCGGGUUGUAAAGCACUUUCAGCGGGGAGGCGUUACCCGCAGAAGAAGCACCGGCUAACUCCGUGCCAGCAGCCGCGGUAAUAC
rnacentral:rRNA from 1 species